AGAGUUUGAUCAUGGCUCAGGAUGAACGCUGGCGGCGUGCCUAACACAUGCAAGUCGAGCGAUCUUCUUCGGAAGAGAGCGGCGGACGGGUGAGUAACGCGUGGGUAACCUACCUCAUACACAUGGAUAACAUACCGAAAGGUAUACUAAUACAAGAUGAUAUAAGAGAUUCGCAUGGAUUUCUUAUCAAAGCUCCGGCGGUAUGAGAUGGACCCGCGUCUGAUUAGCUAGUUGGUAAGGUAACGGCUUACCAAGGCGACGAUCAGUAGCCGACCUGAGAGGGUGAUCGGCCACAUUGGAACUGAGACACGGUCCAAACUCCUACGGGAGGCAGCAGUGGGGAAUAUUGCACAAUGGGCGAAAGCCUGAUGCAGCAACGCCGCGUGAGCGAUGAAGGCCUUCGGGUCGUAAAGCUCUGUCCUCAAGGAAGAUAAUGACGGUACUUGAGGAGGAAGCCCCGGCUAACUACGUGCCAGCAGCCGCGGUAAUACGUAGGGGGCUAGCGUUAUCCGGAUUUACUGGGCGUAAAGGGUGCGUAGGUGGUUUCUUAAGUCAGGAGUGAAAGGCUACGGCUCAACCGUAGUAAGCUCUUGAAACUGGGAAACUUGAGUGCAGGAGAGGAAAGUGGAAUUCCUAGUGCAGCGGUGAAAUGCGUAGAUAUUAGGAGGAACACCAGUAGCGAAGGCGGCUUUCUGGACUGUAACUGACACUGAGGCACGAAAGCGUGGGGAGCAAACAGGAUUAGAUACCCUGGUAGUCCACGCCGUAAACGAUGAGUACUAGGUGUCGGGGGUUACCCCCCUCGGUGCCGCAGCU
rnacentral:rRNA from 1 species